rnacentral:sRNA from 1 species
UACCAAACGUCGUCGAACGGUCCUCGC